UACGUAGGGACCGAGCGUUGUCCGGAAUCAUUGGGCGUAAAGAGCGUGUAGGCGGCUUGUUAAGUCUUGCGUGAAAUCUCGGGGCUCAACCCCGAGCGGUCGUGAGAAACUGGCAGGCUAGAGUGCGGGAGAGGAGAGUGGAAUUCCUGGUGUAGCGGUGAAAUGCGCAGAUAUCAGGAAGAACACCCGUGGCGAAGGCGGCUCUCUGGAAUGCAACUGACGCUGAGACGCGAAAGCGUGGGGAGCAAACAGG
rnacentral:rRNA from 1 species